rnacentral:rRNA from 1 species
GACGAACGCUGGCGGCGUGCUUAACACAUGCAAGUCGAGCGGAGCGGCGAACGGGUGAGUAACGCGUGAGUAACUGCCCCCCUCUCUGGGAUAACAGUUGGCAACCGCUGCUAAUACACGCAAGUGGGGAUGGACUCGCGUCCUAGCAGCUUGUUGGUGGGGUAGUGGCCUACCAAGGAGACGACGGGUAGCCGGCCUGAGCGGGCGACCGGCCACAUUGGGCUGAGAUGCGGCACAAACACCUACGGGAGGCAGCAGUGGGGAAUAUUGCAUCAUGGGGGAAACCCUGAUGCAGCAACGCCGCGUGCGUGUUGACGGCCUUCGGGGUGUAAACAGCUUUCAGCCAUGAAGCGGUAGUGGCAGAAGAAGCACCGGCUAACUACGUGCGAGCAGCCGCGGUAAUAC